rnacentral:rRNA from 1 species
CCAACCCCCAUGUGAACGUUACCAAACUGUUGCCUCGGCGGGAUUUCUGCCCCGGGCGCGUCGCAGCCCCGGACCAAGGCGCCCGCCGGAGGACCAAUUUACAAACUCUUUUGUAUAUCCCAUCGCGGAUUCUUUACAUUCUGAGCUUUCUCGGCGCUCCUAGCGAGCGUUUCGAAAAUGAAUCAAAACUUUCAACAACGGAUCUCUUGGUUCUGGCAUCGAUGAAGAACGCAGCGAAAUGCGAUAAGUAAUGUGAAUUGCAGAAUUCAGUGAAUCAUCGAAUCUUUGAACGCACAUUGCGCCCGCCAGUAUUCUGGCGGGCAUGCCUGUCCGAGCGUCAUUUCAACCCUCGAACCCCUCCGGGGGGUCGGCGUUGGGGAUCGGCACUUACCUGCCGGCCCCGAAAUACAGUGGCGGUCUCGCCGCAGCCUCUCCUGCGCAGUAGUUUGCACACUCGCACCGGGAGCGCGGCGCGUCCACGGCCGUAAAACAACCCAAACUUCUGAAAUGUUGACCUCGGAUCAGGUAGGAAUACCCGCUGAACUUAAGCAUAUCAANNNGGGGGGGAAANNUACCGAGUUUACAACUCCCAAACCCAGGUGAAAGUUUACCAAACGAUUUGCCUCGGCGGGAUUUCUGCCCGGGGGGCUCCACCCGGACAAGGCCCGCCAGAGGACAAUUUUAAAACUCUUUUGUUAUAUCCAUGCNAUUUCUUUUACAUUCUGAGCUUUUCUGCGGCUGAGCGGGCUUGUCAANAUGAAUCAAACUUUCAAGACGNUAGCUUUGCGUUUCUGGCAUGCAUAAAAAAACGCACGAAGUGGCGAUAGUUAAUGUUGAAUUGCUAAAUUUCAUGUAAUUCACCNAUCUUGUCAACGCACGUUGGCNCCCCUCGCACGUUAUUUCUNGGCAGGACAUGACUGAUNGACUAGGC